AUAUUGCGCAAUGGGCGAAAGCCUGACGCAGCGACGCCGCGUGGGUGAGGAAGUCCUUCGGGAUGUAAAGCCCUUUUUUCGGGGACGAUCCAAGACGGUACCCGAAGAAUAAGCCCCGGCUAACUACGUUCCAGCAGCCGCGGUAAUACGUAGGGGGCAAGCGUUGUCCGGAUUUACUGGGCGUAAAGAGCGCGUAGGCGGAACGUUAAGUCUGGCCUGAAAGCCCCCGGCUCAACCGGGGAGGGUGGCUGGAAACUGGCGUUCUUGAGGGCGAUAGAGGCGUGUGGAAUUCCUGGUGUAGCGGAGAAAUGCGUAGAUAUCAGGAGGAACACCCAUGGCGAAGGCAGCACGCUGGGUCGACCCUGACGCUGAGGCGCGAAAGCGUGGGGAGCGAAC
rnacentral:rRNA from 1 species